rnacentral:rRNA from 1 species
AGCAGCCGCGGUAAUUCCAGCUCCAAUAGCGUAUAUUAAAGUUGUUGCAGUUAAAAAGCUCGUAGUUGAAUUUCGGGAUCAGUACGCUGGUCGUGCCUUCGGUAUGAACUGGUGUCACUGGUUCCUCCCUUCUGAAGAACCGUCAUGCCAUUCAGUUGGUGUGGCGGGGAAUCAGGACUGUUACUUUGAAAAAAUUAGAGUGUUUAAAGCAGGCUCGCGCUUGAAUACAUUGGCAUGGAAUAAUGAAAUAGGACGUUUGACCCUAUUUUGUUGGUUUCUAGGAUCGACGUAAUGAUUAAUAGGGAUAGUUGGGGGCAUUAGUAUUCAAUUGUCAGAGGUGAAAUUCUUGGAUUUAUUGAAGACUAACUACUGCGAAAGCAUUUGCCAAGGAUGUUUUCAUUAAUCAAGAACGAAAGUUAGGGGAUCGAAGACGAUCAGAUACCGUCGUAGUCUUAACCAUAAACUAUGCCGACUAGGGAUCGGAUGAUGUUAAUUUUUUAAUGACUCAUUCGGCGCCUUACG